UAGAAGCGGGUGGGGAGGUGCCAGGCCGGCGCGAGGCGCCCCACCCGGCUUGCUGUGCGCAUGCGCGCUCCUGCCAGAGCGGCCCGUGGACCAGUUGGUGUCCGGUGCUUGGCAGUGAUCGUAGUUGUACGGUCAGCAAUAGAAAAAGUGCUCAAAAUGUGCGAUAAUUCAUUCCCCGGGCCGGCGCAGGUGCUGAGGCCCGAGGGCAGGGGGCUGCCCCGAUUCCGGCCGGAGGCGGCCGUUGGGGCCCGGCGGGCGGAGCCGCGACCCGCCAGCUUCUAACGGCCAACGGCUCCCGCGCACAUGCGACUGGCGGCGCGCGGCUCAUGGCUGUUCCCCGUGUCUCCCUCGGGGGUGGCAGAGCAGGGGGCAAUGGUCUAAAGUUGCCGCAAGAGCGGCUAGGGUAGAUAUCAGAAAAACUUGCUCACGAGGAGAGUAGGGAAGCACUGGGGCAGGUUAGACAGAGAGGUGGGAUCUCCAUCCUUGGAGGGGUUUAAGACCAGGUAGAUAAAGCCUGGGCUGGGAUGAUCUAGCUGGGGAUGGUCCUGCUUUGAGCAGGGGGUUGCACUAGAUGAUCUCCUGAGGUCCCUUUCAACCCUCAUUUGCUGCGAUUCCCUGGAGGACGUCAGCUUUCCACUCAGCAGUCUUCCCAACCUGCCAGAUCUGGCCUUGAAGCCAGAAAGACUGGAGAGAGAGCAGGGAAGAGCCCACACGAUCCAAGCCCAACAGACCUGUUCACUUUGCUGUUUGCUCCAGACUAGGAUAAUACAUUGCCUAUCGGAGUCCCUCUGAGCAGAAAGCAGGACCUUGCUUUCCAACACUGCUAAUGUCAUGCCUGGCCUGCCGCUGGCCUUCUGGAGUCUUCUGAUGGUGGCUGCAGAGUGGUGGGCGCUAGCACGUCCACUCCUUGCAUCCGGUUUCACUCUGCGGGUUUCUGUAUGGCAUUCCUGAUGGAAUAUUUCAUUUUCUAAUGCCAAUGGUGAAUUUGGGCUCAAGUAUCUUCCUACUCCUCACAGCUUCCUACUCCUCACAGCUUCAUUCUGCAAUGUAAUACCACUGACACAGACAUUGUAAGCAAAGAACUAUACAGCAGGCAAAGAAGGGUCCCAGGAGCAGCACCUACCCUAAAGAUAUCAUCUUCAGAAGCA